rnacentral:rRNA from 1 species
GAUGAACGCUGGCGGCGUGCCUAACACAUGCAAGUCGAACGGAGAUUACGGACGGAAGUUUUCGGAUGGAAGACUGUACUUCUUAGUGGCGGACGGGUGAGUAACGCGUGGGCAACCUGCCCUAUACAGGGGGAUAGCAGCUGGAAACGGCUGGUAAGACCGCAUAAGUCGGUUAAAUCGCAUGAUUUGAUCGGGAAAUGAGCAAUCAGGUAUAGGAUGGGCCCGCGUCCGAUUAGCCAGUUGGCAGGGUAAAAGCCUACCAAAGCGACGAUCGGUAGCCGGACUGAGAGGUCGGACGGCCACAUUGGGACUGAGACACGGCCCAAACUCCUACGGGAGGCAGCAGUGGGGGAUAUUGCACAAUGGAGGAAACUCUGAUGCAGCGACGCCGCGUGAGUGAAGAAGUAUUUCGGUAUGUAAAGCUCUAUCAGCAGGGAAGAUGAUGACGGUACCUGACUAAGAAGCCCCGGCUAACUACGUG